rnacentral:rRNA from 1 species
GACGAACGCUGGCGGCGUGCUUAACACAUGCAAGUCGAACGAUGAAACCUAGCUUGCUAGGUCGAUUAGUGGCGAACGGGUGAGUAACACGUGACUAACCUGCCCCUUUCUCUGGGAUAACGCUCCGAAAGGAGUGCUAAUACCGGAUACUCACACCGAGGCACAUGCCUUGGUGUGGAAAGUUUUUCGGAAAGGGAUGGAGUCGCGGCCUAUCAGCUGGUUGGUGAGGUAACGGCUCACCAAGGCGACGACGGGUAGCGGGCCUGGGAGGGGGACGGGCAAGACGGGGACGGGGACACGGCCCAGACUCCUAGGGGAGACAGCAGUGGGGAAUAUUGCACAAUGGGCGAAAGUCUGAUGCAGCGACGCCGCGUGAGGGAUGAAGGUCUUCGGAUUGUAAACCUCUUUCAGUAGGGACGAAGCGAAAGUGACGGUACCUAAAGGAGAAGCACCGGCUAACUACGUGCCAGCAGCCGCCGUAA